UUAAUUUAAUGGAAUACACAGGCCAGUAAUCUUGGAUCCAGCUGACCCAACUAAUAAUGUGAGUGGAGAUAAAAUAUGCUGGCAACGGCUGAAAAAAGAAGCUCAAACUUGGUUGACUUCUCCCAACCUGGAUAAUGAAUUACCUGCACCAUCUUGGAAUGUUCUGCCUGCACCACUCUUCACGACCCCAGGCCACCUUCUGGAUAAGUUCAUCAAGGAGUUUCUCCAGCCCAACAAAUGCUUCCUAGAGCAGAUCGACAGUGCUGUUAACAUCAUCCGUACAUUCCUUAAAGAAAACUGCUUCCGACAAUCAACCGCCAAGAUCCAGAUUGUCCGGGGAGGAUCAACUGCCAAAGGCACAGCUCUGAAGACUGGCUCUGAUGCCGACCUCGUCGUGUUCCAUAACUCGCUUAAAAGCUACACCUCCCAAAAAAAUGAGCGGCACAAAAUCGUCAAGGAAAUCCACGAACAGCUGGAAGCCUUUUGGAGGGAGAAUAAGGAGGAGCUUGAAGUCAGCUUUG
rnacentral:sRNA from 1 species